rnacentral:rRNA from 1 species
GAUGAACGCUGGCGGCGUGCUUAACACAUGCAAGUCGAACGAACCUUCGGGUUAGUGGCGGACGGGUGAGUAACGCGUGAGAAUCUGCCCUCAGGAGGGGGAUAACAGUUGGAAACGACUGCUAAUACCCCAUAUGCCGAGAGGUGAAAUGAAUUUUGCCUGGGGAUGAGCUCGCGUCUGAUUAGCUUGUUGGUGGGGUAAUGGCUUACCAAGGCUUUGAUCAGUAGCUGGUCUGAGAGGACGAUCAGCCACACUGGGACUGAGACACGGCCCAGACUCCUACGGGAGGCAGCAGUGGGGAAUUUUCCGCAAUGGGCGCAAGCCUGACGGAGCAACGCCGCGUGAGGGACGAAGGCUUUUGGGCUGUAAACCUCUUUUCUCAAGGAAGAAGAUCUGACGGUACUUGAGGAAUAAGCCACGGCUAAAUUCCGUGCCAGCCGCCGCGGUAAU